rnacentral:rRNA from 1 species
AAUCAACGCUGGCGGCGUGCCUCAGACAUGCAAGUCGAACGAUUAAGACUUCCUUCGGGAAGUGCAUAAAGUGGCGCACGGGUGAGUAACACGUAAGUAAUCUACCCUCGAGUGGGGAAUAACAGUCGGAAACGACUGCUAAUACCGCAUAAUGCAGCGGCACCGCAAGGUGACAGUUGUUAAAGGAGCAAUCCGCUUGAGGAGGAGCUUGCGGCAGAUUAGCUAGUUGGUAAGGUAACGGCUUACCAAGGCUACGAUCUGUAUCCGGUCUAAGAGGACGGUCGGACACACUGACACUGAAUAACGGGUCAGACUCCUACGGGAGGCAGCAGUCGGGAAUUUUGGGCAAUGGGCGAAAGCCUGACCCAGCAACGCCGCGUGAAGGAUGAAGUAUUUCGGUAUGUAAACUUCGAAAGAAUGGGAAGAAUAAAUGACGGUACCAUUUAUAAGCUCCGGCUAACUACGUGCCAGCCGCCGCAGUAAAAC